rnacentral:snRNA from 1 species
GGAUGUGAGGGUGAUCUGGCUGUGACAUCUGUCACCCCCACUGAUCGCCAGGGUUGAUUCAGCUGAUCUGGCUGGCUAGGCAGGUGUCCCCUUCCUCCCUCACCGUUCCAUGUGCGUCCCUCCCGAAGCUGUGUGCUCCAUUAAAGAGGACGGCCUUCCCCAAAUAGAGAUGGACCAUUCUUCGGUCAAGGGUAUUGGAGUAGCUACAUUCCACAAGUGGUGAAGCAGGGUCCCUUGCAGGUGUCUCUCUCU